ACAAGGUUUUAACCUCCUAACACAAUCACAUCUAUGUCCGUGGCUACACCUAAUAACCUUAGGCUGCCUACGUACCCUCCUUGAGGGAUCAAGCCACACGUAGUUCUUCCAUAAAACCUAAUUCCACACAUAGGCAAUACCUUAUUUCAUUUCUCUAAUUUCACAUAAUCUCCCCAUACGCCGGUACUACCAACGCCACGUAUGGGGCCUGUCAACACGCCAGAUAACCUACGCCACGUGCGACCAUGCCAUACUAUCACAAUAUCUCCCCAUACGCCGGUACAACCAACGCCACGUAUGGGGUCUGUCUCAAUGCCGG
rnacentral:lncRNA from 1 species